rnacentral:rRNA from 1 species
GAGUUUGAUCAUGGCUCAGGACUAACGCUGGCGGCGUGCCUAACACAUGCAAGUCGAACGAGAGUAGCAAUACUCUAGUGGCAGACGGGUGAGUAACACGUGGUCAACCUACCUCUAUGUGGGGGAUAACUAGCCGAAAGGUUAGCUAAUACCGCAUACGAUCGUCGAGCGGCAUCGCUUGACGAUGAAAGGAGCAAUCCGCAGAGAGACGGGACCGCGUCCCAUUAGCUAGUUGGUGGGGUAAUGGCCUACCAAGGCGACGAUGGGUAGCUGGCUUGAGAGAGCGACCAGCCACACCUGGGACUGAGACACGGCCCAGACUCCUACGGGAGGCAGCAGUGAGGAAUUUUCCGCAAUGGGCGAAAGCCUGACGGAGCGACGCCGCGUGUGGG